GGGAGGCCUAGGUGGGAGGAUCACUUGAGGUCAGGAGUUCAAGACCAGCCUGAUCAACAUGGUGAAACCCCAUCUCUACUAAAAAUACAAAAACGUAGUGGAGUGUGGUGAUGGGAGCCUGUAAUCCCAGCUACUUGGGACGCUGAAGCAGGAGAAUCAUUUGAACCCAGAAGGUGGGGGUUGCAGUGAGCUGAGAUAGUGCCACUGCACUCCAGCCUGGGCAACAAAGCAAGACUCUGCUUCCAAAAAAAAAAAAAAAUCCAGUUAUGUUCAAUCUAUUUUUUUAUACUAUUAUAGAUAGCAAUGAGAAAAUUUCUUAAAAUAAAGCUAACAUCUACCUCUCUCCUCCAUUUAGAUGUGCUUCUAGGCUAAUUCCAGCUAAUUAUCUGAAUACAUUAAACCAGUAAUAAUCAGUAUUUUCAGUAUUUGUCAGAUUUGAUACAAUCAACAGAGAUCUGCAUUUCUUUCUCUUAUAUGUCACCUCCUCAUUUACAAAGAGCACAGAGCGGGCCACAGUUUCAACGGUAUGGUUUUUGGCAUCUGAGCUAUUUACCUUUUAUUUAUUUAUUUUUGGUGCAAAAGCAGGCUGAGAUAGAUCACCAUGCAGAAGGACAAGACACAUAGAAAAGAGGCUCGUUUCCAAGACCAGUCAGGUGCUGGCUCCCAUUUAAACUCCAAGAUGUAAGACCAGUCAGAAGCUGGUUCCCAUUUAAACUCCAAGACUCAAGGAGGGUACAAAGGCUCAAAGGAAAACAGAAAUGACUUUAGGGAGCUAAAAAAAAACCUGUGUGCAUUGCAAGGUUAGUGGGUGAUGGAGAGUAGGGACAACAAAAAAUGAAGCAAGGGAGGACAAAUGGGACAGAAGACACAGGCCUGGGAGGCUUUGUUCUCAGAGCAAUGGGAAAUGAGAGGACUAUAGCAGGAUAGUGGCUCUGCCACCUGGGACAUCACAGCUCUUCCAGGGCAGUAUUUCCUACUUAUAGAAGCCAGGCUACCACACUCUUAGCAGUCACCCAUUCACAAAUACCGAGUAAGGGCCCACCGUGCCCUCUACACACACAGUCAGGGAAGAUAUCCAUGCAGACGCCUCGAGAUCCACAGAAGCCACAGCAAUGGACUCUGCCAGGACGGGGUGGGAGAGGACCUGGCCUAGGAAAGGCAUCUAAGAUGUGCUGGGCUCCAUAGCUAACUCUUUUCACUAAGCUGACAACCUUUUACUUCACAUCCAGCAGAACUUAAAAAUAAUGUGUUCUUCAGAAAGAGGGAGUCCUGGCUGGUCCAAAGGGAGUGAAUUAUCUCACCUGACUGUUCACAGCCAGUUACAGACCAAAUUCCUUGUUCUACUCUUUCUACUUUCUCACUAUGGCACCCGACUAGUCUUA
rnacentral:lncRNA from 10 species